rnacentral:rRNA from 1 species
ACGGGAGGCAGCAGUGGGGAAUAUUGGACAAUGGGGGAAACCCUGAUCCAGCGACGCCGCGUGAGUGAAGAAGUAUUUCGGUAUGUAAAGCUCUAUCAGCAAGGAAGAAAAUGACGGUACUUGACUAAGAAGCUCCGGCUAAUACGUGCCAGCAGCCGCGGUAAUACGUAUGGAGCAAGCGUUAUCCGGAUUUACUGGGUGUAAAGGGAGCGUAGACGGCAAAGCAAGUCUGAAGUGAAAUCCCGGGGCUCAACCCCGGAACUGCUUUGGAAACUGUUUAGCUAGAGUGCAGGAGAGGUAAGCGGAAUUCCUAGUGUAGCGGUGAAAUGCGUAGGUAUUAGGAGGAACACCAGUGGCGAAGGCGGCUUACUGGACUGUAACUGACGUUGAGGCUCGAAAGCGUGGGGAGCAAACAGGAUUAGAUACCCUGGUA